rfam:Janthinobacterium sp. HH01 Jab_2c, whole genome shotgun sequence.
GGGCAGGAUAUGUGAAGUUAGCUAACCUGUCGGUUUGCUAACUCCACUUCCCUUAUUCGCACCUGCGGCAACGGGAACCUGCCCUGCGGGGCA